rnacentral:rRNA from 1 species
UGGGGAAUAUUGCGCAAUGGGCGAAAGCCUGACGCAGCGACACCGCGUGCGGGAUGAAGGCCUUAGGGUCGUAAACCGCUUUCGGCAGGGACGAAGCGAAAGUGACGGUACCUGCAGAAGAAGGUCCGGCUAACUACGUGCCAGCAGCCGCGGUAAGACGUAGGGACCGAGCGUUGUCCGGAUUCAUUGGGCGUAAAGCGCGCGCAGGCGGCUUCGCAGGUCGGGUGUGAAAACCAGAGGCUCAACCUCUGGCCUGCACCCGAAACCGCGUGGCUAGAGGCAGGUAGGGGAGAUCGGAAUUCCUGGUGUAGCGGUGAAAUGCGCAGAUAUCAGGAGGAACACCGGUGGCGAAGGCGGAUCUCUGGGCCUGUCCUGACGCUGAGGUGCGAAAGCUAGGGGAGCAAACAGG